AAAACCUUCGGAAACAAUUCAUAUCACUCCUAAUCCUCAGCCCUGCAUGGAUUUUGAGGUAUGCAAUCAUUUUCCAUAUUAUUUGUAGAACUCUUUGUUACUUUACUGAUCUAUGGCUUUAGGCUUAUUGGUUCUGCAAACUUGUAGGAACAAGAUGCUGAUAGUGAUCCCGAUGUCAUGAAUGAUUAUGGUGAGCUUUAACUGCGAGUCUACCACUAGUUAUGGUGCUUAAUCCUUGGCAAUAUGUUUGUAAACUUUAGAUACAUUGUAUGGAGCAGCAGCAGCUCUGCACCAUGAACCUUGAUAUAUCUUGUGUGUUGUGUGUGAUGAACCAUGAGCUUUUGAUUCAAACUAUUGUAUGGAGCAGCAGCAGUUCUGCACCAUGAACCUUGAUAUAUCUUGUGUGUUGUGUGUGAUGAACCAUGAACUUUUGUUGAACUUUUGUAUCAAACUAUUGUAUGGAGCAGCAGCAGCUCUGCACUUGUGUGCCUUAGUGCCUAUGUGUAUUUAAAUCUGUG
rnacentral:lncRNA from 1 species